GCUGUCUCAUUGAUCGAUCAACAAUCCAAUAUUAGAUUCCAUUUUAUUGUUCAAACCAAUGGUGGCAUCUACAAAUCCAUCGCUUUUGCCUUCACAGGGCUUUAGCGAGCUUGAUGUUGGCAGAGGAAAUAUAGGUAUCAAGAGAGUGGGUUAGCUUGAUUUCGAAGCAUUCGAAAUCGCUUGCAGGAAAAGGUUAUUGGAAGGGGACACAGAAAUCACUUCUGCUAUCCUUUGUUCAAAAUGGGAAAAAUGAAAUUAGAGACCCAAGCUGGCACCCUUUCCAGGUUAAAGUGGUUGAUGGAAAAGAAAUGGAAGUUCUUUUAGAGGAUGAGAAGCUUCAGAAGCUAAAGCAAGAGUGCGGCGAAGAAACCUGUGCUUUGGUAACAAAAGCCUUGGUUGAAAUCAACGAGUACAAUCCUAGUGGCCGCUAUCCUAUACCGGUGCUGUGGAACUAUGAGAAAGACCGGGAGGCAACAGUGGCUGAAGCCAUCCAUCACAUCAUGAAGAAGGUGAAGACUCGGAAGAGGAAGCAUUGCGCCAAUUAUCCUAGUUUUCAUCAAAAAAAUUAUCCUAGUUGAGUUCUUUUGUCUGCUCUGUCCUGAGCUAAAUUUACUAGGCCUGGUGUCGUUAUAUCAGUUCGUCGGUUCUUAGAUAAUGAUGGGUGGGUGCACUAUGAUCACCUGCAAGACGCUAGUAGUAUGGUUCGGUUGCAGGGUUCCAUCCCUGGAAUUUACUGUUUGAGCAAUUGCAUGAAUGCUGCUAUAUUUUCAGAAAUUCAGAAUGAGAAUUUGGGCGAUGUUUGGUUGCAA